rnacentral:rRNA from 1 species
GUUAUGGGCAGUCGAAGUCUCUUCUAGCAUAUAAUAAGCUCGGCCUUUACAAUAUCUCCAUAAGUUUGACCUCAAAUCAGGUAGGAUUACCCGCUGAACUUAAGCAUAUCAAUAAGCGGAGGAAAAGAAACCAACAGGGAUUGCCUCAGUAACGGCGAGUGAAGCGGCAAAAGCUCAAAUUUGAAAUCUAGUACCUUUGGUGCUCGAGUUGUAAUUUGAAGAUAGUUUUCUGGCAUUGGCCCUUGUCUAUGUUCCUUGGAACAGGACGUCAUAGAGGGUGAGAAUCCCGUCUGAUGGGGUGUCCAAUGCUUUGUAGAUUUCUAUCGAAGAGUCGAGUUGUUUGGGAAUGCAGCUCUAAGUGGGUGGUAAAUUCCAUCUAAAGCUAAAUACUGGCGAGAGACCGAUAGCGAACAAGUACAGUGAUGGAAAGAUGAAAAGAACUUUGAAAAGAGAGUGAAAAAGUACGUGAAAUUGUUGAAAGGGAAGGAUAUUGGAUCAGACUUGGUGUUUUGUGAUUAUCUUCCCUUCUUGGGUUGUGCACUCGCAUUUCACUGGGCCAGCAUCGGUUCGGAUGGCAAGAUAAUGGCUUGGGAACGUGGCACCUUUCGGGGUGUGUUAUAUCCCUUGUUGAUGUUGCCUAUCUGGACCGAGGACUGCGGCUCUGCCUAG